rnacentral:rRNA from 1 species
GACAGAGGGUGCAAACGUUGUUCGGAAUUACUGGGCGUAAAGCGUACGUAGGCGGCUUUGUAAGUUAGAGGUGAAAGCCUGGAGCUCAACUCCAGAACUGCCUUUAAAACUGCAUCGCUUGAAUCCAGGAGAGGUGAGUGGAAUUCCGAGUGUAGAGGUGAAAUUCGUAGAUAUUCGGAAGAACACCAGUGGCGAAGGCGACUUCCUGGCCUGUUCUUGACGCUGAGGCGCGAAAGCUGGGGGAGCAAACGGG